rnacentral:rRNA from 1 species
UACGGAGGAUGCGAGCGUUAUCCGGAUUUAUUGGGUUUAAAGGGUGCGUAGGCGGGAUGCCAAGUCCGCGGUAAAAAUGCGGUGCUCAACGCCGUCGAGCCGUUGAAACUGGCGUUCUUGAGUGGGCGAGAAGUAUGCGGAAUGCGUGGUGUAGCGGUGAAAUGCAUAGAUAUCACGCAGAACUCCGAUUGCGAAGGCAGCAUACCGGCGCCCUACUGACGCUGAGGCACGAAAGCGUGGGUAUCGAACAGG